rnacentral:lncRNA from 1 species
AUAAACAUGGAACAAAAUUAAUAUGGAGGGAGUAUUGAAAAUUGAAACUAAUCACUCUAAUUUUGCAAUUUACACUUCACUAUAAUGUCAUAGGAAAUUGUUUUUAUGAGAAAAAUGUAAUGUGCAUUUAUUAUGUCUGUAAUGAUCCCAAAAUUUCAAUAAUUCAACUCUCGACUUCGGUCGUUAACAAUACAUCUAACUGUUAAUUUUACAUCAUUAUUCGAUGUCAUAGUUAACAAAAUACGGAAUAAUUUGAACUUUUAUGUCUUCUUCCUUUGUAUUACCUGAAUCACAACCUUUAUCUCUUUUACAUAUCUUUGAAUCAAAUUUAUUUUAUGAUUCGAUUCAUCAUAGUUAUUAUAUGAAACCAUCCAUCUCAAUUCGAUAUCCUUUAUAUAACAGAUUAUUCAAACUUUACAUUUCAACACUUAUUAUACAACUUAACCAAGUACAUUUCUCAUAACCUUAAACAUGCAUGGUUCAAAAUAAUAACUUCAACUAAAUAAUUAAUCUUCUAGCGUUAUUAUGGAUCUCUAUCAUUCAAAUAGCACGUAGCCCUUCAUAAAUCCUUGACUUGCAAAAAUGGUUAUUUUGUAAGAAUAAACUCGACAACUCAGCAAAUCAAACAGUUUUCAUGCAUCACAUAGCACAUAAUAUCAUGCUCAGUUAUACAAUCUUAAUCAUACUAAUACAUCUUACAUGCUGCAUCUCAUAUAACAGAUAUAAAGAUUAUCAUCCUCAAAUUAAACAUAUAGUCACAGAUUGACUUCCAAGUUUCAUAUACAUUUCAUAUGCAUUUCAUCAUUUUCAUAACAUAAUAUAAAUCAAUCAACAAUUAUCAAGUUCAUAUAACAAAUAGAAACUGAAAGACUUGUCUUGAUCGUUGAUUACCAACAAUAAUUUAAUAGCUUAAAGUGAUCUGCAUCUCACGUGUUCCUACACAAUCAUAUAAUCAUGUAUACAUAACCAUCAGUCACACAUAUUCAUAUCUUCUCUAUGUGAGAUCACUUUUACAUUGUUUCCUAGCUUGGUCUUAAAACGGCUACUUUACUUGCUCAUUAUACUCUUAUCUCAGGAUAGCUAGGUUGUUAGCCAAUUUAUUCUCAUGCUUACUCUAUUGAAACAAUCUUGUGUUUAUACCUUGUGUUCUUUAAGGAACAAUUAUAGAUAUGUUCCAAGGUUUAGACGAUCAACAAACUUGCCUUGAUCACAACUUUGCAGCACGACACGGUUGCGCUGCAUUUUGCCUUAGAAGUGGCGCGGUCGCACUACCCCUGCUAAAACUUAGGACUAAGUUAUUUCUAACUCUGUUCAACCCUUAACAAUCCCACGUUCUUAGAUAAUCAACACAAUAACUAAAAACAGAACUUUGGUAUGUUUGGUAUCUUUAAAACCAUCUUAAGUCUAUUAACUCUAUCAUUCAAAACAUUUAGUUUUUCAUUUUAAUACUGACUAAAACAAUUCACAUAAUGAACAGAUGUCCCGAGCCUUAUAGCAGAUACAUCUAUGCAUAACCAAGAUUUCCAAAUCCUUAAACCAAACUAAGUUCCUUAAGAUUGUCUUUGAAAACCUUCUUUUAGUUUUCAUUGAAAAACUCAUUUAGUCCUUAUUUUACGAAGUCAAAACAUGAACAACUAUCUCAACACUAAGAAAAUUUAUUGGGAAAACUGCAGACCAGAGCGGCCAAACUGUAUUUGGCCUUGGAAGUGGCGCGGCCGCACCACUUCGAUAGUAGACCCAAACAGUGCUCUACUCUGGUUUGUCUACUACAGAACCCAACACUCACUAUGCCCAUUAUCCAAACUUGCUUCAUAAUUGAUGUAUAUAAAUCCAAACUACCAUAAACAAGUUUCCUAUUACCUUAAUUUUAGAUACUAAUUCUUAUUACUGAUUUCUCUUAAUCCACAAUAUUCUUGGGUAAAUUCUUCAUUUGAACACUUUAGCAAAUAACUUGUAGACAUGAUGUAGAACUUAUAAUUUCAUAGAAGUUCGUAUGCAAUCCAUUCAGAUUUCUUAGAGAAAUCAUCCCCCAUACAACUAAUUAUAUCCCUUUUACUUCUUUUAUAUCCAAUUACAGACAAUCCAAUUCUAUUAGUUUCUUAUACAUUAACCAAAUACUAAAACAUAGCAAAAGUACUAAAUUACCUUUUGAUUGUUAUACUCUUGCUCAAAUUCUUGAUUUCCAUCUUUCUUUAUCAAUUUACAUCUUUAGAUUUGAAGAAAGGAACUGCUCCAAUCUUCUUAUUUUUCCUUCUUAAUUUCUCAAAGAAUUCCUUCUUUCUCUUUUUCUCUCUUUCUCAAACUCAGCUUUCUCUUUGCAAAUGAAGCAUAUGAAGAGAAACUGAAAACUUAUGUGAAUUCAAUUGGCUACCAAUAGUUACUGAAAUAACAAGGGUCUAAGAAGUUUUAGAAAAACAAAGGGUCUAAACCCUGUUUG